rnacentral:rRNA from 1 species
UGGGUUUAGAACGUCGUGAGACAGUUCGGUCCCUAUCUGCCGUGGGCGCUGGAGAACUGAGGGGGGCUGCUCCUAGUACGAGAGGACCGGAGUGGACGCAUCACUGGUGUUCGGGUUGUCAUGCCAAUGGCACUGCCCGGUAGCUAAAUGCGGAAGAGAUAAGUGCUGAAAGCAUCUAAGCACGAAACUUGCCCCGAGAUGAGUUCUCCCUGACCCUUUAAGGGUCCUGAAGGAACGUUGAAGACGACGACGUUGAUAGGCCGGGUGUGUAAGCGCAGCGAUGCGUUGAGCUAACCGGUACUAAUGAACCGUGAGGCUUAACCUUACAACGCCGAAGCUGUU